ACUCAAUAGAUACCCAGGUAGUCCUAGCCGUAAACGAUGAGAACUAGGUGUGGGGGGUAAAACCUCCGUGCCGACGCCAAACGCAUUAAAGUUCUCCGCCUGGGGACUACGGCCGCAAGGUUAAAACCUCAAAGGAAUUGACGGGGGUCCCGCACAAGCGGUGGAGCAUGUGGUUCAAUUCGAUGCAACGCGAGGAACCUUACCUGGGCUUGACAUCCCGUGCAAUCCGAUGAAAGUCGGGUUCCGUAGCAAUACGGCGCGGAGACAGGUGGUGCAUGGCUGUCGUCAGCUCGUGUCGUGAGAUGUUGGGUUAAAGUCCCCGGCAACCGAGCGCAACCCCCGUGCCGAUAGUUGCCAUCAUUAAGUUGGGAACUCUAUCGGGACUGUCGGUAACAAGCCGAAGGAAGGUGGGGAUGACGUCAAGUCAUCAUGCCCCGUUAUGCCCAGGGCUACACACGUGCUACAAUGGGCGGUACAAACGGGUCAGCGACACCGCGAGGUGGAGCAAAUCCUCAAAGCCGUUCUAAGUUCAGAUCGUAGAUUGCAACUCAUC
rnacentral:rRNA from 1 species